CAAAAAUUGAAAUUGGAAAAUUGGCAGUUGAAAAUAAAAAAUUAACAUUUGAAAACAAAUGUCUUUCGAAGUUGAAGGACGAAAAUAAAUUAUUACAAUCCAGAUUAAUGACUGGAGAACGGAAUUUGUUAUACCUUCAAACGAAAUUUGAUAAAUUGUACAACGAGAAACAACGCCAGAUAAAUG